GGUGAUUUCCCUCUUUAAGUUUUCGUUAUGAUGCAGUUAUGCGUGCUGUGUCCUUUAAGAGUUUGUGCACGCGCACGAUAGAGAGAGUGCGCGUCAGAGGGGAACAGAGAGCGCGCUGAUUGAAGCAGCAGGUAAAAGUGAGGAGAAAAUAGUUGAUAAGAAAUUGUUAAAUGGAUAUAAUCCAGGCUGAUUAUCAACUCGUGGACCUGUGGUGGUUUUAGUUGUGUGACUGCACCGAGUGGAUGACUUAAGUCAGUGUUUAUAUUAGUGUUUGUUGCCGCAUAUGAGAGAUCUCCGGUGGGGGAGGGGAUUCAGGCCUACUUCGACGGAGAUUGAGCAGGGGAGAACAAGCUGGUGAGAUCGCAUGUGCCAGUUUCCACGUGAUUGAUAAUCCGGAGUCUCAUAUAACAAUAUGAAGUAAUGACUGAUUUGAUCAGAGCACAGUGGGGACCUGCCUCUUCGGUAAUGAGGACGAAAGCUAAUUAUGAGACCCUCAGGUUUCCUCCUGCUGGGACGCUGAGGUUACCGCUGACCUGUGAGGAGAGAUGGGAUGUCUGAAGCAGGAGUUCACAGUGAUGGACCGGCCCAUGGGAGUCCAUUAACAGGUCAGGAGGUGGUGAAAGGAGCAUGGGCUAAAUUCAUUAGCACUCUCCAGCUACCAUCCGAGUGUAUCGAGCGGUGGAACAGAGCGCAAUGCUGCAGGUGUGUGAGUGUGUGUGUGUGUGUGUGUGUGUGUGUGUGUGUGUGUGUGUGUGUCUAUUUCUACCAUUUGUCAACGGAUUGGUUCUUAAUUCAAACUGAUUUGUC
ensembl:lncRNA